AAGAAGCAUCGCAACCUGGGCCUCAGCAUGCUGCUGCAGGUGGCUAACCCCAUUUAGCAUCUCCAGGCCCUGCCAUCGUGUCUCAUCUUGCUGUUAUCUCUAGCUCUUUCCCUCCUCCCAUUUCCUUUAGUAGUUGAAUUUUGCAAAGCUUGUAGCAGUAGCUCAGUUGCCUGCAGCAUCCUUGUGUGUAGAUAAAUUAGUCGACAGAAACUCAGCACUGGGGACAGGAUUGCAAAGUCGGGGACAUAGAUGCAGACAGUUGUUGAGAUUUGGGGAUAGCCGGGCUUGUGAGCGGUGCCCAUUUCCAGAUGAAGCCUUUCAGCCCUUCUGAGUCCCCGGCCCUUGGUGCGAUGUCUGUGAGUUUGACCUGCCCAGCGUGUGGGCUGGCUCAAUGCUGAAUAAAGUGGGUUUGUGUCA
rnacentral:lncRNA from 1 species